CUACGGGAGGCAGCAGUGGGGAAUAUUGCACAAUGGGCGCAAGCCUGAUGCAGCCAUGCCGCGUGUAUGAAGAAGGCCUUCGGGUUGUAAAGUACUUUCAGCGGGGAGGAAGGGAGUAAAGUUAAUACCUUUGCUCAUUGACGUUACCCGCAGAAGAAGCACCGGCUAACUCCGUGCCAGCAGCCGCGGUAAUACGGAGGGUGCAAGCGUUAAUCAGAAUUACUGGGCGUAAAGCGCACGCAGGCGUUUUGUUAAGUCAGAUGUGAAAUCCCCGGGCUCAACCUGGGAACUGCAUCUGAUACUGGCAAGCUUGAGUCUCGUAGAGGGGGGUAGAAUUCCAGGUGUAGCGGUGAAAUGCGUAGAGAUCUGGAGGAAUACCGGUGGCGAAGGCGGCCCCCUGGACGAAGACUGACGCUCAGGUGCGAAAGCGUGGGGAGCAAACAGGAUUAGAUACCCUUGUAGUC
rnacentral:rRNA from 1 species